CAGGCCGCAGACCCCAGAAGCGCUGGAUCUUGUCCUCUGGGCCAAUGUCAAGACAGUGAGGGAGCGCAUGCAAAAGAAGAAGCUAGCUGAAGGGGCUCAGUGAUCCUUCACGGCAUCUGGGGCAGGACCGACGGACGAGUCACUGUCCUCACCCCCACUAAGUAUCCAGACCCAAAUUACUGGGCCAACCCAACCCAGUGCAAACUAACACCCCACCAUACUUCCCAGGGGACAGAACUACCCCAGGUUCUCAUGAUCUGUCCCCUCCCCUUCCGAGGCGGCGGCCUUCCCCGCCAGAUUCCAGGUCCCCCCCUUCCCUAACUGCUCGGGCAUCCUAGAGCCUACACCACUGAGAGGCGAGGGCAGGGGCCAGAGCAGGGGUGCCCGGUGGAGGAGAGGGGCCUUAGCACCACACAGGGUCUGCCUCUUACCGGCUCUGCAUUUGCUCUGAGUCAGCACGUGACCGAGUUUCUUUUUAAGGCCGGUUGGCACACCAGGGCAUCCCCUUAGCACCCAGGUAUCUCAGCGAGCCUCACUUCCCAUGUGCAUCAAAACGGAACCACCACCUGCCGCACCGGGUUGGCCAGGCUCUCAGGAGGUCACGCACGUUUACAUCAAGUGCCUGACACCCCCUCGCCACCCUCCGGAGGCAGCCUUUCCGAUUACAGUGGCCCUGGGCAGACAGGGGAGGUGUGUGGGGGGGGAUUACAUUCAGGUCCCCCCACCCAUGAUCUGGUGGUUUUUGUUCAGAAGCCAGUGAAUCAGCAGUCCUGUUAGUGCCGGAAGAUCAUGCUUUGUCUGCCGUGAAUGCUGUGUAAAUAUCGACGCUGUGUCACCGGCCGGGGCGGGAGAACCAGGGCCGACGGAGGGGUGUGCAGGGAUGCAGGGGAGGGGGCUGAGCCCGCUGCAGCCCCGGGGCAGGGCAGGAAGGAAGGAGGGCUCUCCGGGAGGGGAGUCGCAGGAGGCUGACGGAAAGCAGUUACUUGCUGGGCAGGAAAGAGAAGUGGCCAGGAGCUCAGCUUCAUGCCCAGGAGUAGUAACAAAGACAAGAUCUAGCAAACUCCAGGAGCCCGAAGCCACUGCUCCCCCUGGCUUCUCUUCUCUGCUCCUUCUCCUUGGCUGCUAUCCCAUUUUCAGGCCGGCCUGGAGAGGGAAGGUGGCCGAGGAGGAGGCUCGGUCCAGGCACGUGGUGGCGCGUCUGUCAUCUAAAGGGCAGGAGGGGCCGCUCUGGAACAGCACGCAUCAGGAAGCACGGGGUCACAGUUCUCCCAGCCCUGUGGGGUGCCAGGUGCCGGGCGGCUCAUGCACUUGCCCAAGGUCACUCUAGUCCAUGGCAGGGCCAUUUCCCGGGGCCCUUCUCCCACACCUCCCUGCCUCCUGCGCCUGCUUCCAUCUCUGACCUACUUUUCCCAAGACAAUUGAGAAACGAAUGACCGAAGCUGCAGGCCUAGGCUUGUGAAGGCUUGUGAAGGCUUGUGAAGGCUUGGGAUGGCUGUUCAACGUGAGAGCAUCUGGACCUUUUUUUUUUUUUUUAAGCAACGAGAAAAAUUCCACUGACAGAGCCUUGCUGUUAAAUUGGUGUGGAUGCUGCUGAAGGCUCGCUGUCCCCUCUGUGUUCAUCUCCCUGUGGAGCCAUCACCGAGCCUCUCAGGAACCAGGCUUCCUGCGUGGGCCACUUUCUGAGGGCCGCUGCCUAGAGCCCCAUGAGAUACACCCCGUCAGCCCCCACAUCAGUGGGACACCGCCACUUCCAGAGACAAAGACUCGCAUUGGGGUCCCAGUGAAGAAGCAAGACUCCUCCCCAGAGGACAGAGCAGCCUGCUUGACAAGAACAGAGGGGUCCUCUUUCCCAAAAGCACUGGAUGUCAAAACAGAGGGGUCUUGGGUGGGGGCAGAAGCCUCUGGGAAUCCGGACAGGAGUGAACAUUUCCCAGCAGAAACUUUUCCUGGCAAGAGAACUGGAGAGGAAGAGACCCUUCCCUCACAGCUUCAGGAGGAACCAGCCCUGCCCACAUCUUGAUGUCAGAUUUCUAACCACCGGAACUGUGAGAAAAUAAAUUUUGCCAGCAGUGAAAUAAGGGGCGAGCCUGCGAUCCCCAAGACUCAGCCUGAUUGUGUUCUGAGCCUUCAGUAUGGUUGCAGGAAUGAUGCAUCACAAAACGAAACAAAUUAGUCCUUGGGACAGAUGACCCAGGGGCAAAUCAGCCACCACAACAAAAAAGACAAGCGUUCAAACCAACAAGAGAAGAUUGUAAUGCCUUCCUAACAACGUUGCUUUAUUGAUGCAAUGCAAGGAAAACUACAUUAGAUUCUAUUGAUUCUCUUUGAGAUCUAAUAAUAUGCUUUACUCAGAUCUUAUUCACGUACCACUUCCUCCACGGUCUUUCUCAGGAGCUGAAAUUGGCCAGUUACAAACAGAAUUUGUUCUCCUGUCCUUUGAAAUCACAGAAGUGGACGUGUUUUAGAACACAAAAGAUACUAAGCUUUCUCAGGGAAACAAAGCAGCUGGAAGAAAAAAAAAAAUCUCCCUCUAAACAAAAUUGAAAGCAUGCCUUACUUUAGAUUUAUUUGAUUACAAAGUCUUUCUCGGAGCUAAUCAGUUUUAGAACCGGUUCCUAUUGGCACCAAUGAGCCAAUAAAAAAUCCAGGAGAGAAGAAGUAUCACAACAACUCAAGGAAACAAGGUUGUUCAUUUUUUUAAAAAUGAAUUUUUUAAAAAAAUUGAAUUAAUGCCUAUGCCGCUGAGUCAAAUUAUUUAUACAUAUGCUAUAGGUUUUGCAUCCCCAGAAUUUGUUAGCAUUCAGAGUAUGAUAAAUUGUCCCUGACUGACUUGUGAAAAAUCGUCUCAAGAAGGAUUUUUUUCCCCCCCAGCGGGAAAAUAUGUAGAUGACACACGGUGGUUUAUUGAAACUGUUCUUCAGAUGAACAGCCUGAAGGGAGAGGCAGGUUUUUAGAGGUCACAACAACGGUUAAGAAUUUCGGCUGUGGGGCAGUGUUAUAAUGCUCAUGAAGUCACUUCACUCCUGUACCUCGUGUUCUUCAUCUCUCCAGUAGGUUCCAAACUCAGGGCUUUCUGCAAAAUUCAGAGGGAUCAUACGUGAGCCCUCCCAGGGUUAAGAACCUAAUAAAUCUCAGCUUUUGUAUCAUUAUUA